rnacentral:lncRNA from 1 species
CUAUAUUUUCUUGCUCUAGAGUUAAAAGACUUUAAGUUUUUAGACGUGGUUUUAUUUUAUUUUAUUUCUGUAAAAUUAUUUCCAAAAAUAUUUAAAACACUCAUUAAAGCUGUACAAAAAUUAAUUUUCAGAGCUAAUUAUUUACCUUUACAGCUGUAGAUUCCCUUUUUAAAGUUAAAUCAUAAUUGUACAGGUUCUUAAAACUCUGCCAAUAAACUCCAGUGUUCUUUUUUUUUACAACAAAAUAACUACUUAACUAAGAAACCGCCGAAUUGAAUAGCCAAACCGGAGGUUCGGCGGUAAAGAAUCAACAUAUAACAUAGUUGAAAGAGAAUUCUUCUCACCACGUGCAAGCUUGUCCGCCAUUGUAUUUUGUGCCUUCGGAAUAUGUCGGAUCUUGAAAUUACGGAAGAAAAUCUUACUGCGGUAAAAUUUUUCCGUGUAGUAAAAACUGACCAUUCUUCAGGUGAUGACUCUAUCUUCACCAAUUGAGAACAAUCUGUCGCAAAUACUACAUCUGAAAACUGCAUGGUCUUCGUACACUCCAUCUUCACUGGUGUUCUUUUAUCAAAAUUUACAUUAUUGUGUGUUUAAUUAAGUUAUUGUUAUAAUAUAAGUAAGGAAGUAUAACUGAUUUAUUUAUUAUAUAUUAUUAUUCUAUUGUUUUGUGUUUGGUAAAAGAAGAAGUUGGACGUGAGAGAGAAUAAAGAGUGAUGUUGAUUAUUCA